rnacentral:lncRNA from 1 species
GAAACACUUUGCGGCUGGUUGCACGGCGCUCUCUACCAGUGGCGGAGACAACACGACUUCGGGUGACGAGGGUGAGUUCGUUACUCGCGAAGACUCGGUUGAAUACCUGGGAGUUAUCAGACGGGAUAUCGGAGAGGCGUUUAGGAGAGCCCACCCCGGUAUCCCUGAUGAAACCCUUCUAAGGUGGCUCGGGGGGAAGGUAAAGGGCCCGUUUACGAAUCUCCAAUCUGGGACGUCCGGCUCCAGUUCGGAUUCAGGGUCGGUUUCCAUUUCGGAUUCCGAGCUACCCCCGAGCUCAAAUCUGAUGGUAUAUUCUAAAAACCAACUGUUUACUGUUUUCUUCCUUAUCUGACAUCUCUCAUGUGCAGCUAUGUCGGCUCGAGCUGGUGCCCCCGCUGUGGGCCAAAAAACCGAGGGCAAGGCCAAGGCCGAGAAGGCUACGAAGGAGAAGACGGCCAAGCCUCCCACCAAAGGAGUGACUAUCCGCGAGAAACGUACGCGGGAAGGCGACCUUUUAAUCGAAAUAGGCGAGCUGGACUCGUCGAAGGGAAAAGAAGCAGUGCCGCCCCCGCCGCCUAAAAAAUUCAAAUCUAACCGAGGGGCGAUCAAUGCUAGAGGGCGUGCUGCUGAAGCGGGGACCUCUUCCCCUGGUGGCGACAUAGGAUCCGAGUCUAUGUCGGAUGCUUCAGUGGCUCGGAGGCUGCUUACGGGGGUGAUUCCGGCUUCCGACCAGAAAGAGGUUGACCAAUUAUCCGAGAAUGAAUUGGUCGCCAAAUCUUUUCAUGCCUUGGGCCAGGUAACUCGUGAAAAUCUUGGUGUUGUUUUUCUUUCGGCGAAUACUGAGGUGUUAUAUUGGCAGGUGGUCGUGUUCGCCUCUUCUCUUGCCCUCCGCAGCCAGGAGUAUCUCCACGACGUAAACUUCCAAAUGGCUCGCGCAGACUCCGCCGAGCUGGAAUUGGUAAAAGCUCAAAAUCGAGCCCUUAAAGCGGAGAAUAAGCUGGCCGAGCUUGGCGAGGAAGGAUCACAGCCCGGCAACGAGGUGGACGAUCUGAAGGCCACUGUGGCGGAGCUUACAAAUAAACUGGCGAAGGCCAAGGAGCUAGCCAUUGAGGACUUCAAAGCCUCGGGAGAAUUCAAGGCGGCGGUUACAGAUUCUGCUGCGACGUACUUCAGCGAGGGCUUUGAGUUUUGCAAGAGGCAGCUCAUCCAUCAAUUCCCCAACCUCGGUGUUGACGUGGCGAAUAUGGCGAUGGACCCAAGCUUCGCCGAGGAAGAGGAGGCGAUGAAAGAAGGAGAAGAUCCUGCUGCGGGAGUUGCUCCCAAUGUAUAAUUUUUUUUUUUUUGUGUGUAAUUUUUGUCCAUAUAAAUGAAAAUCUUUGUUCCCCGUUCUUUCGUUUGGAUGUUAAUGGCGACCAUAAGUAAUGGCGAAGUCUCAAUAACUGGAAUAAUACUGGCAAUUUCAACAAUGGACGAUCUCAUUUUGUUCUGAAUUGGCGAUAUCAUUUUUCUUUAAAGGGCGAUCUCAAUAUUGGCGAGUUUUCUUUAAAUGGCGAUCUCAUGAUUGGCGAUUUUUCUUUAAAUGGCGAGCUCAAUAUUGGCGAUCAUUUAUAUAGGCGAUCAUAAUAAUGGCGACAUAGAGACGGGCGAUCAUAAUAUAGGCGACAUAAACAAUGGCGAUAGCAAUCUUUCGUAUAAACGAUGAUCCAACAUGGCGCGAAUGGCGAAGGGGUUUUCAUGGCCUUCACUGAUAGUACUUUUUCAAAUGCUCGGCAUUCCAGGGAUGUGAAAGUGCUUUUCCGUCCGGGUCUUCUAACCAAUAAGUCCCCGGUCGGGAGACUUUGAUGACCUUGUAAGGACCUUCCCACGUUGGGCCGAGCUUUCCUGUAUUUGGUUCUUUAGUUGACAGGGUUACUUUCCGCAGAACCAGAUCGCCCGGAAGGAAUGAACGGUGCCUAACUCUUUGAUUGUAGUACUUGGCGACUUGGCACUUGUAAGCCAUUUGGCGUAGCUCGGCGUUCUCUCUUUUUUCUUCAAGGAGGUCUAGGUUGAUUCUGAGCUCGGCCUCAUUGAUUUCUUUGUCGAAAUUCGAAACCCUGAAGCUCGGCAUACCUAUUUCCACCGGUAUGACUGAUUCGGUUCCGAAGCCCAUGGAAUAUGGAGUUUCGCCCAUAGGAAUCCGGCUAGUAGUAUGAUAAGCCCAAAGUAUGCUUGGUAAGUUUUCCGCCCACUCGCUUUUUGAUUGGUCCAACCUCGCCUUUAAAUUCCUGAGGAUGGUACGAUUGGUUAUUUCAACCUACCCAUUAGCUUGAGGAUGACCGGGCGAGAAGAAAUGAUGGGAGAUGGCGAGAUCCGAACAGAAUAGUCUGAACCUGUCGUUGUCCGAGAUGAUAACCUUUGGGACUCCGAAUCUGCAAACGAGGUGCUUCCAUACGAAGUCCCGCGUAUUUUUUUCAGUAAUCUUGGCGAGGGGCUGAGCUUCUAUCCAUUUAGUGAAAUAAUC